UACGUAGGGGGCAAGCGUUAAUCGGAAUUACUGGGCGUAAAGCGUGCGCAGGCGGUUUUGUAAGACUGUCGUGAAAUCCCCGGGCUUAACCUGGGAAUGGCGAUGGUGACUGCAAGGCUAGAGUUUGGCAGAGGGGGGUAGAAUUCCACGUGUAGCAGUGAAAUGCGUAGAGAUGUGGAGGAACACCGAUGGCGAAGGCAGCCCCCUGGGUCAAGACUGACGCUCAUGCACGAAAGCGUGGGGAGCAAACAGG
rnacentral:rRNA from 1 species